rnacentral:rRNA from 1 species
CUNNACCUGGNCGNCUUACUUAACACAUGCAAGUCGAACGCUGAACCGGUCUUCGGAUCGGGGAUGAGUGGCGAACGGGUGAGUAACACGUGGACAACCUGUCUUUAGCUCUGGGAUAAGCCUUGGAAACGGGGUCUAAUACCGGAUAGGACUUCAUCACGCAUGUGGUGGGGUGGAAAGCGUUUANCGGCUANAGGUGGGUCCGCGGCCUAUCANCUUGUUGGUGGGGUGAUGGNCUACCAAGGCGACNACGGGUAGCCNGCCUGAGAGGGUGACCGGCCACACUGNGACUGAGACACGGCCCANACUCCUACNGGAGGCAGCANUGGGGAAUAUUGCACAAUGGGCGGAAGCCUGAUGCNGCGACGCCGCGUGAGGGAUGACAGCCUUCNGGNUGUAAACCUCUUUCGCCANGGACNAANCGAGAGUGACGGUACCUGCAGAAGAAGCACCGGCUAACUACUUGCCAGCAGNCGCGGUAAUACGUAGGGUGCNAGCGUNGUCCGGAAUUAUUGGGCGUAAANAGCUCGUAGGCGGCNUGUCNCGUCUGCCGUGAAAUUCACAGCUUAACUGUGGACGUGCNGUGGAUACGGGCAGGNNUGAGUUCGGUAGGGGAACUG